CAGUCGCCACGGGAAUACGAAGGGUGCAAGCGUUACUCGGAAUUACUGGGCGUAAAGCGUGCGUAGGUGGUGGUUUAAGUCCGUUGUGAAAGCCCUGGGCUCAACCUGGGAAUUGCAGUGGAUACUGGGUCACUAGAGUGUGGUAGAGGAUAGUGGAAUUUCCGGUGUAGCAGUGAAAUGCGUAGAGAUCGGAAGGAACAUCUGUUGCGAAGGCGACUAUCUGGGCCAACACUGACACUGAGGCACGAAAGCGUGGGGAGCAAACAGGAUUAGAUACCCCAGUAGUCCCUGUCUCUUAUAC
rnacentral:rRNA from 1 species